rnacentral:rRNA from 1 species
AACGAACGCUGGCGGCAUGCCUAACACAUGCAAGUCGAACGACCCCUCCGGGGAUAGUGGCGCACGGGUGCGUAACGCGUGGGAACCUGCCCUUAGGUUCGGAAUAACUCAGAGAAAUUUGAGCUAAUACCGGAUAAUGUCUUCUGACCAAAGAUUUAUCGCCUUUGGAUGGGCCCGCGUUGGAUUAGCUAGUUGGUGGGGUAAAGGCCUACCAAGGCGACGAUCCAUAGCUGGUCUGAGAGGAUGAUCAGCCACACUGGGACUGAGACACGGCCCAGACUCCUACGCGAUGCGGCAGUGGGGAAUAUUGGACAAUGGGCGAAAGCCUGAUCCAGCUAUGCCGCGUGAGUGAUGAAGGCCUUAGGGUUGUAAAGCUCUUUUACCCGGGAUGAUAAUGACAGUACCGGGAGAAUAAGCCCCGGCUAACUCCGUG